CUGAUGUUAGCGGCGGACGGGUGAGUAACACGUGGAUAACCUACCUAUAAGACUGGGAUAACUUCGGGAAACCGGAGCUAAUACCGGAUAAUAUUUUGAACCGCAUGGUUCAAAAGUGAAAGACGGUCUUGCUGUCACUUAUAGAUGGAUCCGCGCUGCAUUAGCUAGUUGGUAAGGUAACGGCUUACCAAGGCAACGAUGCAUAGCCGACCUGAGAGGGUGAUCGGCCACACUGGAACUGAGACACGGUCCAGACUCCUACGGGAGGCAGCAGUAGGGAAUCUUCCGCAAUGGGCGAAAGCCUGACGGAGCAACGCCGCGUGAGUGAUGAAGGUCUUCGGAUCGUAAAACUCUGUUAUUAGGGAAGAACAUAUGUGUAAGUAACUGUGCACAUCUUGACGGUACCUAAUCAGAAAGCCACGGCUAACUACGUGCCAGCAGCCGCGGUAAUACGUAGGUGGCAAGCGUUAUCCGGAAUUAUUGGGCGUAAAGCGCGCGUAGGCGGUUUUUUAAGUCUGAUGUGAAAGCCCACGGCUCAACCGUGGAGGGUCAGUGGAAACUGGAAAACUUGAGUGCAGAAGAGGAAAGUGGAAUUCCAUGUGUAGCGGUGAAAUGCGCAGAGAUAUGGAGGAACACCAGUGGCGAAGGCGACUUUCUGGUCUGUAACUGACGCUGAUGUGCGAAAGCGU
rnacentral:rRNA from 1 species